rnacentral:rRNA from 1 species
AGAGUUUGACUCCUGGCUCAGGACGAACGCUGGCGGCGUGCUUAACACAUGCAAGUCGAACGGGCCUCCUUCGGGGGCUAGUGGCGAACGGGUGAGUAACACGUGGGCGACCUGCCUCGCGCUCUGGGAUAAGCCUGGGAAACCGGGUCUAAUACCGGAUAGGACCUGCUCCUGCAUGGGGGCGGGUGGAAAGUCUUCUCGGCGCGAGAUGGGCCCGCGGCCUAUCAGCUUGUUGGCGGGGUGACGGGCCCACCAAGGCGACGACGGGUAGCCGGCCUGAGAGGGCGACCGGCCACACUGGGACUGAGACACGGCCCAGACUCCUACGGGAGGCAGCAGUGGGGAAUAUUGCACAAUGGGCGCAAGCCUGAUGCAGCGACGCCGCGUGGGGGAUGACGGCCUUCGGGUUGUAAACCUCUUUCAGCAGGGACGAAGCGCAAGUGACGGUACCUGCAGAAGAAGCACCGGCCAACUACGUG